AGAGUUUGAUCCUGGCUCAGGAUGAACGCUGGCGGCGUGCUUAACACAUGCAAGUCGAACGAUCCUUCGGGAUAGUGGCGGACGGGUGAGUAACGCGUGGGAAUCUGCCCUCAGGAGGGGGAUAACGGCUGGAAACGGCCGCUAAUACCCCAUAUGCCGAGAGGUGAAAUGAAUUUCGCCUGAGGAUGAGCCCGCGUCUGAUUAGCUAGUUGGUGGGGUAAAGGCCUACCAAGGCAACGAUCAGUAGCUGGUCUGAGAGGAUGAUCAGCCACACUGGGACUGAGACACGGCCCAGACUCCUACGGGAGGCAGCAGUGGGGAAUUUUCCGCAAUGGGCGAAAGCCUGACGGAGCAACGCCGCGUGAGGGAUGAAGGCCUCUGGGCUGUAAACCUCUUUUCUCAAGGAAGAAGACCUGACGGUACUUGAGGAAUAAGCCACGGCUAAUUCCGUGCCAGCAGCCGCGGUAAUACGGGAGUGGCAAGCGUUAUCCGGAAUUAUUGGGCGUAAAGCGUCCGCAGGCGGCCUUGUAAGUCUGUUGUUAAAGCGUGGAGCUCAACUCCAUUUAAGCAAUGGAAACUACAAGGCUGGAGUGUGGUAGGGGCAGAGGGAAUUCCCGGUGUAGCGGUGAAAUGCGUAGAUAUCGGGAAGAACACCAGUGGCGAAGGCGCUCUGCUGGGCCAUAACUGACGCUCAUGGACGAAAGCCAGGGGAGCGAAAGGGAUUAGAUACCCCUGUAGUCCUGGCCGUAAACGAUGAACACUAGGUGUCGGGGGAAUCGACCCCCUCGGUGUCGUAGCCAACGCGUUAAGUGUUCCGCCUGGGGAGUACGCACGCAAGUGUGAAACUCAAAGGAAUUGACGGGGGCCCGCACAAGCGGUGGAGUAUGUGGUUUAAUUCGAUGCAACGCGAAGAACCUUACCAGGGUUUGACAUCCUGCGAACCCCUGAGAAAUCGGGGGGUGCCUUCGGGAGCGCAGAGACAGGUGGUGCAUGGCUGUCGUCGGCUCGUGUCGUGAGAUGUUGGGUUAAGUCCCGCAACGAGCGCAACCCACGUCUUUAGUUGCCAGCAUUCAGUUGGGCACUCUAGAGAGACCGCCGGUGAUAAACCGGAGGAAGGUGUGGGUGACGUCAAGUCAUCAUGCCCCUUACAUCCUGGGCUACACACGUACUACAAUGCUACGGACAAAGGGCAGCAAGCUCGCGAGAGUUAGCAAAUCCCAUAAACCGUGGCUCAGUUCAGAUCGUAGGCUGCAACUCGCCUACGUGAAGGAGGAAUCGCUAGUAAUCGCAGGUCAGCAUACUGCGGUGAAUACGUUCCCGGGCCUUGUACACACCGCCCGUCACACCAUGGAAGUUGGCCAUGCCCGAAGUCGUUACUCCAACCCUUGUGGAGGAGGACGCCGAAGGUGGGGCUGAUGACUGGGGUGAAGUCGUAACAAGGUA
rnacentral:rRNA from 1 species